rnacentral:misc_RNA from 1 species
GCCUUCUGUUGCCAUUGCUCGAUGAUCCUCAUAGAAAGAUCUGCACAGCCAUUGGUAUGGCUGUGGCAUCUAUUGCCCAUUACGAUUGGCCAGAAGACUGGCCUGAUCUCUUACCAUCACUAAUGAAGUGUAUUACUGACCAAACAAACAUGAAUGCUGUUCAUGGAGCUUUGAGGUGCUUUGCUCUUGUGUCAGCGGAUUUGGACGAUAAUAUAGUUCCGAAACUUGUUCCUGUUUUAUUCCCUUGCUUGCACUCAAUUGUUUCAUCACCUCAGAUUUAUGAGAAAUCUUUGCGCAUGAAGGCUCUUUCAAUAGUUUAUGCUUGCACCUCAAUGCUAGGGGCUAUGAGCGGUGUAUAUAAGACGGAGACCAGUGCAAUGAUGUCACCUAUGAUUCAAUCUUGGAUCAACCAAUUCUCUUCGAUUCUAGAGCAUCCAGUGCCAUCGGAAGACCCUGAUGAUUGGAGCAUCCGGAUGGAGGUUAUAAAGUGCUUGAAUCAGUUCCUCCAGAACUUCCCGAGCCUUAUGGAAAGUCAAUUUGGGGUUUUUAUGGGACCAUUAUGGCAGACAUUUGUAUCAUCGCUAGCAGUAUAUACACGAUCAUCAAUUGAAGGAAUUGAAGAUCCUUAUGAUGGGAGAUAUGAUUCUGAUGGUGCAGAGCAAAGUCUUGAAUCAUUCAUCAUCCAGUUGUUUGAGUUUCUAUUGACUAUUUUGGGCAGCCCCAAAUUUGUAAAGGUAGUUGGGAACAAUGUAAAGGAGUUGGUUUACUACACUAUUGCCUUUAUGCAGACAACAGAACAGCAGGUUAACACUUGGUCUGUUGAUGCCAAUCAAUAUGUAGCUGAUGAGGAUGAUAAUACUUACAGUUGUCGUGCUUCUGGUGCUCUUUUGUUGGAAGAAGUCAUUAGUUCUUGUGGUACACAGGGAAUUCAUGCUAUCAUUGACUCUGCAAAGACGCGAUUUAGGGAGUCUCAGCAAGAAAAAGCAUCUGGUGCUUCAGGCUGGUGGAGAAUGAAGGAGGCUGCACUUUUUGCUUUGGCUUCAGUGUCUGAAGAGCUACUUGAAGCUGAGGCCCCUGAAAUCACUAAAGUCGGUUUAGGAGAUACCUUGGAACAAAUUCUUUCGGAAGAUAUGUCAACAGGGGUGAAUGAAUAUCCCUUCUUAUAUGCCCGUAUAUUUUCUUCCAUUGCUAAGUUUUCCUCCAUGGUCAGCGAGGGUCUAAUUGAGCACUUCCUCUAUGCAGCCAUCAAAGCACUUGGCAUGGAUAUGCCUCCACCUGUUAAAGUAGGGGCAUGUAGAGCACUUUCUCAACUUUUACCUGAUACAAAUAAAGAGAUUCUCCGUCCUCAUUUCUUGGAUAUAUUUUCAUCACUCACAGAUCUUCUAAAGCAUGCUUCUGACGAGACCAUGCAUCUAGUGCUUGAAACACUACAGGAAGCAGUAAAAGCAGGCCCUGAUUUGGUGGUAUCUAUUGAGCCAGUUCUCUCUCCGAUUAUACUCAAUAUGUGGGCUUCAAAUGUUGCUGAUCCUUUUGUCAGCAUUGAUGCUCUUGAGGUUCUGGAGGCAAUAAAAA